rnacentral:ncRNA from 2 species
GCAGAAUUGCAUAGGCGACCUCAUAUAAGACGGGAAUAAGGCCCGUUCGUCUCUACCUGGGAACCGUAAAUUCCCGGACUAUGAGGGGAGUUUAAGCUUGG